UGGCGGCGUGCCUAUAAUGCAAGUCGAGCGAACGGACGAGAAGCUUGCUUCUCUGAUGUUAGCGGCGGACGGGUGAGUAACACGUGGAUAACCUACCUAUAAGACUGGGAUAACUUCGGGAAACCGGAGCUAAUACCGGAUAAUAUUUUGAACCGCAUGGUUCAAAAGUGAAAGACGGUCUUGCUGUCACUUAUAGAUGGAUCCGCGCUGCAUUAGCUAGUUGGUAAGGUAACGGCUUACCAAGGCAACGAUGCAUAGCCGACCUGAGAGGGUGAUCGGCCACACUGGAACUGAGGCACGGUCCAGACUCCUACGGGAGGCAGCAGUAGGGAAUCUUCCGCAAUGGGCGAAAGCCUGACGGAGCAACGCCGCGUGAGUGAUGAAGGUCUUCGGAUCGUAAAACUCUGUUAUUAGGGAAGAACAUAUGUGUAAGUAACUGUGCACAUCUUGACGGUACCUAAUCAGAAAGCCACGGCUAACUACGUGCCAGCAGCCGCGGUAAU
rnacentral:rRNA from 1 species